AAGAUCGUACUCACUAGGAUCAUUUCUAUAGUACGUAUCCCGUCUUUGUUCUCUAACAAAGACAACCGCAUAAGUCAUGAUGAUGACAAAUAGCAUCCUCUCUUGAGCAGGAAGCACACCAGUGCGACAGUUCCAUUUGGAGCAAGAGCACUGAUGAUUGAUGACUGUUCUGUGCUGGUCUUCUGAUCAGUUUGGAGGGAGAGGCUGCUUUUUGAGUGAC